GGCUGGCCCUGGAGAAACCUGAGCACUUUUGCCUCGACAGGUUGGAAACCACACGGCUGCGCUCCGCCCCGCGCUGUCCGUCCUCCCCGGAGACCAGCCGAACUCGGCGCGGCAACGCCGUGUCCCAGAGGUACGAGCCGCUGCAGCCGCCCAGGCGCUGGGAGGGACUAGGCCGGUGACGGCGACACAGGCCUGGGGUCGGGCGUCGGAUGCCCGGGCGUCUCCGAGCCACCGCGCGUGUAACCGCCGCCACCGCUACCUCGGCCGAUCCCUCGCUGGCCCUCUGCUGCAGCGCUGUCCGCCGAGCGCACCAACUUCCCCUCAGAGUUGCCGAAGUUUGGUCACGAUACGAGGAUCUCAGGACGCGGACGGUCCCCACCAUCCCCAGUCCGGCCCGCUCCUCGGUCCCAGGCGCGCCCAGGUGGCCCGAAGCCCGCAGUCGAGGACACUCCGGACAUACGACCCCGGCCCGACACCGUCCCCCCUCCAGUCGCAGCCCGCGGGCCAACUGCACGCGUGGGCAGAGCCGGGACCGCCUCCCAGGACCGAAGCCGAGACGGGCUGGGCUGAGGCCGUAGCCGCCUGGGACCGGCCGAAGAUCCGCACAAAGUGCGGCCGGAGGCGGGCGUGCCCAGCGCAGGCACUUUCGUGUCGGCACUGGUCUUACCUGGCUCGGCGGACGCUGCGCUGACCCCGAGCAGCAGGACCAGGUGAGCGAGCAAGUCCAGGAGGCGACGCCGCCGCGGCUGCAGCCAAGGCCACCUGCGGGCACAAGCCACAGUGGGCCCCACAGCUCUUCCGCAGGGAGAAAUGACAGAUGACACCCAGCUCAUCCCGGUGACACGCAGGGUUGGGGUCUCUGGGACACCCACCAAGCAGGGACCCACAAGACCAGGAUGCUUGACUGACGGAAACAGAGGCUCCACCCCUCCACGGCCAUGUCCUCAGGCCCUAAUCGCCCGUCCACCGUGUCUGAGACGUAACUGCAGCCGGAAGAUGAGUGGACCGGCCAACCCUGGCCCUGGACCCUGGCCUCUGAUGGACUCUGCCCCCCACCUCCUCUGCCGCCCCCGUCUCUUCUCUCCACCCCACCGGGCACAUCAGGCUCGAGACACCCGCCUCUGGUGGACCCUCAGUAACUACCCGCCAGAUGAAGGACGGGAUUGCCACUGCCUUUUGCAGCAGGCAGGUCCGAACCCUUCCCGGCGGCCUCACCUGGAUCUCAGCCUCCAACCAGCAGAGCGCUGGGCACCAGGUGGGGCAGCCGAUGAAGCUGGUUUUCUUGGAGGAUUUGUUGACAGAAUUUGAAAACAGCAAGUAAUGAUGACACGUACAUGAAACGGACUAUUACGUCCCCAAGAAAAAUCUAAUUAAGCGAGAAAUGUGUAUGUGGAAAAGCCACGUCCCUCCCUGUGAACACCACGUGGCACCAUGCUAGGAAACAGGCGAGUGAAGAGGUGACAGCCUGCUGUGAGAAGUGACUGUCAAAGCUUCAUAAAUACACAUUUCUAUUAACCUUGGCCGUGCCAUUUCCUCUUUUCCCUGCUGCAUGGAAAUGCCUCAGCUCAGGCUGAAUCACAGGGGAAAGGGGAGGGGCCCCCGAAUUCUCAAGUGCAUCCUCUAAUGACCUGGGACAUUCCUAAUCCCCACUGAGGCUCAUCAAUACAAAGGAAGUGCAUGUUGCCAACUCCCGUGAGUAGAAGGAAGGGGUCUGGGUGACCCUCCGUCCCCUCAUUUCCUGCCCACCUGGCAGCCUUCCAGCAGAAACAGCACCCCCAGUCCCUUCUGUUCCCUGGGCCACGGCCUUAUUCAGACAAGUUAAUCAGUGUUGUUUGUCCCACCCAGGUGACUGAGGUGACUGCUCAGGGCAAACCAACCCCCAGCUGCGUGUACACCCCCAGCACCACACGUGCACACACAACCUGUGUCUGCUGUCACUCAAGAGCAACAUCAGAGCAUCAACCCUGACUCAGCCAGAGCGCUGCCUGGGUCCUGUCUGCCCUGCCCCCACCCUCAGUGUCCUCACAUCUCAGCCUGACCUCCUGGUCCUCCGAGCAGUUCUGAUGGCUACCAGCAGCCCAGCGCUCACCUCCACGUCAGGCUGCUUGACUUUCCUGCAGAGCGCUUCUCAAUAAUGCUCCUGUUCUCUUAUUUGUUCACUUGUCUGUUACUUAUUUGUGGUCUUCCCACUUCCCUCCGGGAGAAUUCAGGCCCCUAUCCCUGCCCAAGGAUGGGGUCUUUGCUGUGUGCAUGGCAGAACAGAAGGGAGGGAGGGAGGCAAGCAGGCGUAUUUCACAAGUGACACCAGAGCCCAGGAUGGAGCCUCCAGGGUGGGACUGCAUUGUACCCAACAAUGUAUGGAACCCAACACAGCCUCCAGCCUCCGUCCUGGCAUGUUCCUGGCACCAUUCCUACACUCACCCUCAUCCCACUCAGAGAGGGACCCAACUGAACUAGCUCCAUUAUAAUCACUGAAAACCCUAAAUGUUACAAAUAAGGGCCCCCCAUCUGCCUCCACGCCUCAGCCCCCCUCAAAGUUAGUCCUUGUCACUAUCUUUUUGCUGGCUUUCAAAAAUGCAUUUCAUAGAUAUUUGUUACUUUAUAAACCUAGAAAGUUGUUUAGUAAAAUUUUAAAAGCA